GGCUUUCAAUGGGAGAGGUAGUUUAUCUUUACUGCAGUUAUCAUCAGUUGUUAACUUGAGCUGCAUAUAUGCCUAGUUCUCGAGUUGAUGUUUCACCAACAUCUCUAGAACAGUUUCAAACUUUUUGAACUGCAUUUACGCAGAGAGGAAAUUCUGUUCCAUGCAGCCCGAACAGUCAGAUAUGUGCAUGAACACGGUACAUUUUGUCCAUUUACUGAUGGUAAUUAGAUCCUCUAAUGAUAUGCAUUGCCAAUUUUCAUCAUAGAGAAUUUUGCCCGUGCUUCACCCACUUCUUGGGGGUGGUUGACAGCAUAGCAGCGGGGUGGUUCAUGUCUUGUACAAGUAAUUGAUUUUGAAGAUGUGGUGG
rnacentral:misc_RNA from 1 species